CAUAUCUUAGUGUCAUCAGCAAAAAGACAUACCGUACCAUCAAGACCUUCUGCAAUAUCACUAAUAAAAAUAUUAAAGAGAAUGGGUGCAAGUACAGAUCCCUGAGGUACCCCACUGGUGACAAGUCCAAGCUUCGAAUAUAUUCCAUUAACUACAACCCUCUGCUGCCUGUCACUCAGCCACUGCCUUACCCAUUCAAUAACAUGGAAUCCAAUAUCAAUAUCGAGUGGGGAUUGUAAAGAGCUUGCUUUGAUGAAUAUUUUUCUCUAGUGCAGAAUAUGAAUGUCAAAU